rnacentral:tRNA from 1 species
GGGGCUGUAGCUCAGUGGCAAAGCGCUUGCCUAGCAUGCGUGAGGCUCUGGGUUCAAUCCUCAGCACCA